rnacentral:rRNA from 1 species
GCUGCGUAGAUCCUACGUCUGCUUACAAGUAAUAUAAAAACGGUCGCGGCUACUUCGAAGUGCGCAGCGGGCCACUUGAUCUGCUUUUUGUCGGCUGCGCUGCAGUCCUCCCGCAGCCGACACCACGGCACCUGUUUUGUGUGUUUGUGAAAAAUCUUCUCAGAURGYYAUGCAUGUCUAAGUAUAAGCAAUCUAUACGGGUGAAACUGCGAAUGGCUCAUUAAAUCAGUUAUCGUUUAUUUGAUAGUACCUUACUACUUGGAUAACCGUGGUAAUUCUAGAGCUAAUACAUGCUAAAAACCUCGACUUCGGAAGGGGUGUAUUUAUUAGAUAAAAAACCAAUGCCCUUCGGGGCUCYUUGGUGAUUCAUAAUAACUUAACGAAUCGCAUGGCYUUGUGCCGGCGAUGGUUCAUUCAAAUUUCUGCCCUAUCAACUUUCAAUCGUAUGGUAUUGGCCUACGAUGGUUUCAACGGGUAACGGGGAAUUAGGGUUCUAUUCCGGAGAGGGAGCCUGAGAAACGGCUACCACAUCCAAGGAAGGCAGCAGGCGCGCAAAUUACCCAAUCCCGACACGGGGAGGUAGUGACAAUAAAUACUGAUACAGGGCUCUUUUGGGUCUUGUAAUUGGAAUGAGUACAAUUUAAAUCCCUUAACGAGGAACAAUUGGAGGGCAAGUCUGGUGCCAGCAGCCGCGGUAAUUCCAGCUCCAAUAGCGUAUAUUAAAGUUGUUGCAGUUAAAAAGCUCGUAGUUGAACCUUGGGCCUGGUUGGUCGGUCCGCCUCACCGCGUGCACUGAUCCGACCGGGCCUUUCCUUCUGGGGAGCCGCAUGCCCUUCACUGGGUGUGUCGGGGAACCAGGACUUUUACUUUGAAAAAAUUAGAGUGUUCAAAGCAGGCCUAUGCUCGAAUACAUUAGCAUGGAAUAAUAGAAUAGGACGUGUGGUUCUAUUUUGUUGGUUUCUAGGACCGCCGUAAUGAUUAAUAGGGAUAGUCGGGGGCAUCAGUAUUCAAUUGUCAGAGGUGAAAUUCUUGGAUUUAUUGAAGACUAACUACUGCGAAAGCAUUUGCCAAGGAUGUUUUCAUUAAUCAGUGAACGAAAGUUAGGGGAUCGAAGACGAUCAGAUACCGUCGUAGUCUUAACCAUAAACUAUGCCGACUAGGGAUCGGGCGAUGUAUCUUUUUGACUCGCUCGGCACCUUACGAGAAAUCAAAGUCUKUGGGUUCUGGGGGGAGUAUGGUCGCAAGGCUGAAACUUAAAGAAAUUGACGGAAGGGCACCACCAGGAGUGGAGCCUGCGGCUUAAUUUGACUCAACACGGGGAAACUCACCAGGUCCAGACACAAGUAGGAUUGACAGAUUGAGAGCUCUUUCUUGAUUUUGUGGGUGGUGGUGCAUGGCCGUUCUUAGUUGGUGGAGUGAUUUGUCUGCUUAAUUGCGAUAACGAACGAGACCUUAACCUGCUAAAUAGCCAGGCUAGCUUUGGCUGGUCGCCGGCUUCUUAGAGGGACUAUCGGCUCAAGCCGAUGGAAGUUUGAGGCAAUAACAGGUCUGUGAUGCCCUUAGAUGUUCUGGGCCGCACGCGCGCUACACUGACAGAGCCAACGAGUUUCUUCCUUGUCCGAAAGGUCUGGGUAAUCUUGUUAAACUCUGUCGUGCUGGGGAUAGAGCAUUGCAAUUAUUGCUCUUCAACGAGGAAUUCCUAGUAAGCGCAAGUCAUCAGCUUGCGCUGAUUACGUCCCUGCCCUUUGUACACACCGCCCGUCGCUACUACCGAUUGAAUGGCUCAGUGAGGUUUUCGGACUGGCCCAGGGAUGGCGGCAACGCCAACCCAGGGCCGGAAAGUUGCCCAAACUCGGWCAUWURGAGGAAGUAAAGCAUAUCAGGCAGAAAACGGGGGGGGAGGGGUAGCACCCCAGCUUCCCCUAUUCAGAAAAAAAUUAGUGGUUUAGACAAGCACAGCGUUUCUGCACUUCUUGAGCCCGGAAUAUAGUGUACGGAUGGAUGAUAACUUCUUGUGCUACGCUCUCCCGCUAAUACACCACAGAGAACGAACGAGCGUCUCUCUCUACAUUGAGACAGAUGACCUCCUAGGAUAUCGUAUAGACAUCUGCGCGCUAUGAUCGCAAGGAGAUAUCAUCGUCCACUACUAAUGCACGGGAUGAAUGACAUCAUAGCUCGCUUUACAUACAUGAUUCACCGACUACGUGCGUGCACAUGACCUUAGGAUCGCAGCUCCACAGAUGGCACGCUGUCUGUCAGCAUCGACGCAAACAAGUAUGCGAGCUACUUGACGUAACUGAUAUCGCGAUCGAUACGAUCAUUACAG